GAUCAUGGCUCAGGACGAACGCUGGCGGCGUGCUUAACACAUGCAAGUCGAACGAAGUUAUUCAGACAGAAGCCUUCGGGUGGAAGAUUGGAUAUACUGAGUGGCGGACGGGUGAGUAACGCGUGAGCAACCUACCCUGCAAAGGGGGACAACAGCUGGAAACGGCUGCUAAUACCGCAUGAGACCACGGUUUCGCAUGGAACUGAGGUAAAAGGGAAUUCGAUGCAGGAUGGGCUCGCG
rnacentral:rRNA from 1 species